rnacentral:lncRNA from 1 species
CUCAUAAGUGCAAGGAAGGCCCUGGGCUUGUUCCCAGCAAUGCACACAGACUUUAGCCAAAAUGUUCAGCCACCUAAAAGCACGUAUUUAUUCCCAUCUCCUAAGUGGCCCCAGAACCAGAAUCUCAUGAAGGAAGCAGGGUUGGGGCGGUAAGACAUGCUCGCUGCACCUCCUCUUUCCCCUCUGGUAGGUGGUCCCCCUAAUCUCCCUGAGCUUUGCAGUUCUGGGCUAAGGUUGGGCCUCUGGGAUGUAAGGCUUAAGAUCCCAGCACUGAUUAUAUGCUCUGCUCAGAUGCCUAGAGGAACGAACUCCGUGAGUGAGCGCUCAGACACAUCUAAGAGACUGAGCAAGUUGCAAGGAAUUGGAAGGAAAUGGUCGCUUACAGGCUGAGAGGCAGCAGUGCCCAGAAUCCUAAAAGCCAAAGGUCUUAGGGGCUAUGCUGGUGGCUCAGGUCUUACCUCUCCACAGAGUCCCUCCCGUAGGGUCAACACCCUCCGCUAAGGAAGGUGCUCCUAGGAAGGCAUCCUCCACAAACCCCGACACCACUGCUCCAUUGUCAUGAGCUUGCGCUUGGUGUGUUAAGGUUAUGGUCAUUGGGACUGAGCAUGAGGAGAGACCUUCCAGUAGCCUCACAAUACUAUGAAGGAGGGAUGACACUUUUCUGUGAAAUGGGCUAGGUUUUAUCUGGUCUCCCUGGAACCCAGCUCGCUGCCCACCAGGAAGCAAUAGCAUGCGAGCCCCUCUGCAGCCAUGUCUGACAGAGACAAGAAAGGGAAGCUCUGCCCUUGUCAUAAUGUUUAAUCACAUAAAUUAAUUUAUCUAAUCACAUAAAUUAUUUUUUUUAUUCAUCAGAAAUAAACUUUUAAAGG